CAGUAGCCGCGGUAAUACAGAGGGUGCGAGCGUUAAUCGGAUUUACUGGGCGUAAAGCGUGCGUAGGCGGCUUUUUAAGUCGGAUGUGAAAUCCCUGAGCUUAACUUAGGAAUUGCAUUCGAUACUGGGAAGCUAGAGUAUGGGAGAGGAUGGUAGAAUUCCAGGUGUAGCGGUGAAAUGCGUAGAGAUCUGGAGGAAUACCGAUGGCGAAGGCAGCCAUCUGGGACAACACUGACGCUGAGGCACGAAAGCGUGGGGAGCAAACAGGAUUAGAUACCCGCGUAGUCCCUGUCUCUUAUAC
rnacentral:rRNA from 1 species